rnacentral:rRNA from 1 species
GUGGGGAAUAUUGGACAAUGGGCGCAAGCCUGAUCCAACCAUGCCGCGUGAGUGAUGAAGGCCCUAGGGUUGUAAAGCUCUUUCACCGAUGAAGAUAAUGACGGUAGUCGGAGAAGAAGCCCCGGCUAACUUCGUGCCAGCAGCCGCGGUAAUACGAAGGGGGCUAGCGUUGUUCGGAAUUACUGGGCGUAAAGCGCACGUAGGCGGAUAUUUAAGUCAGGGGUGAAAUCCCAGAGCUCAACUCUGGAACUGCCUUUGAUACUGGGUAUCUCGAGUAUGGAAGAGGUGAGUGGAAUUCCGAGUGUAGAGGUGAAAUUCGUAGAUAUUCGGAGGAACACCAGUGGCGAAGGCGGCUCACUGGUCCAUUACUGACGCUGAGGUGCGAAAGCGUGGGGAGCAAACAGGAUUAGAUACCCCGGUAGUCC